UCAUAAUAAAUUUAGGGGCUCAUAUGUCAAUAUUAAGAAGUUAAGUGGUCAAGUGUUAGUUAGUUAGAGGCGAUUAGAAGUUGGGUCUAUAAAAACCCACUCACGUGUAUCUCAUUUUGUGAUACCAGACUCGUCUUCCUCACCUCCUCAUUUCUCUUCAUCUGUUCUUCCUUAAUUCCUUCCUCCCAUCAAUUGCAUAUUACAUUAGCACAAGUGAAUUCAGCUGAUUUUAUCAUGGUAUUAUAGCGGCGAUAGUGAGUGCAUCAUGUUUCAGGCGAAAUUCAAAAGAUCGGAGCUCCAACGAAACUGAGAUUAAGUCAGCCAUGACGGGAAACAAAGUCGCCUCACUAGAUCACAACCAUCCGAUGUUUUACAACCCUCUGAUGCUCUACAACUCGUCAUAAUACCGCUUAAGUUUACAGAGCAAGAAAAUUACAUUGUGGGGCAGAGCGAUGAAAUUGACGCUCCGUAAAAAAAGUAAGCUAGGGUUUAUAGACGGAACUUGUAUAAAGAGUAUGUACAGAGACAAAUUGACAAAACAAUUGGAAAAAUGCUAUGCGACUAUCUUGUCAUGGAUUGGGAGCAUUAUUGUAUAGGGUGAAUUGAUGCCGAAUAGUGUCUAUGCUUCAAAAUGCAAGGAUAGCGUGGAACGAUUUGAAGGAAAGGUUUGGUAGUGUCAUAUGUGUAUCAGCAUAU
rnacentral:lncRNA from 1 species